rnacentral:tRNA from 1 species
CCGGGAGUACGCAAAUUGGCAAAGCGGCGAUCCUCAGAAGGUCGUGAUUUUAUCGGUUCGACGCCGAUCUCCCGGA